CUCCUACGGGCGGCUGCAGUGGGGAAUAUUGCACAAUGGGCGAAAGCCUGAUGCAGCAACGCCGCGUGAAGGAAGAAGGCCUUCGGGUCGUAAACUUCUGUCCUUGGGGAAGAAGAACUGACGGUACCCAAGGAGGAAGCCCCGGCUAACUACGUGCCAGCAGCCGCGGUAAUACGUAGGGGGCAAGCGUUAUCCGGAAUUAUUGGGCGUAAAGAGUACGUAGGUGGCAACCUAAGCGCAGGGUUUAAGGCAAUGGCUCAACCAUUGUUCGCCCUGCGAACUGGGAUGCUUGAGUGCAGGAGAGGAAAGCGGAAUUCCUAGUGUAGCGGUGAAAUGCGUAGAUAUAUGGAAGAACACCAGUGGCGAAAGCGGCUCUCUGGUCUGUAACUGACGCUGAGGUUCGAAAGCGUGGGUAGCAAACAGGAUUAGAUACCCUGGUAGUCAAC
rnacentral:rRNA from 1 species